CCUGGGGAUCGUUGCAUCGUGGAUGCACCCGUUCCCAGCCCGAGCGUGGAGUGAAACGCUGCAGCGCCGACGAUACUAGGGGGCGUCCGCUUGCGAAAAGUGGUAGUCGCCAGCC
rnacentral:rRNA from 1 species